CAUACACACUAUUAAAAACACUUGGUAGUUUAGUCAGAGAGAUUGCUAUGAUGCUCACUUUGAUUUGUUCACAAGUCUAGACACUUGGAAGACUACGGCUUAGUUUGGGAUUGAUUUUGGAGGUGAUUUUGAACCUGCUUCUGCUUUUGGGCUUAUGCUAUGCUGUUUGGUAAAAUGUCUAGAAGUGGCUUUUGGUCCGAAUUGAUUCUCUAAGAAGCUGAAAUUGAGAAGCAGCAUUUACCAGCUCUGGGAAGCUGAUUCUGAGAAAACGCGGAGUGAACAGUGUUUCAUUAAAUGAAAAUUUCUCUUUUUUCCUAUUAUGUCCUCAUCUUCUCUAUGACUUUACCUUGACCCAGAUAGGAUUUUAUUAUGCUCAGCUCCUCUCUUCCCAGCCUCCUCUACCGUCAAAACUCAAACCACCUAAGCUCAUAGAUCGAUCUCUUCUGUGUCUUCAAAAAACCCGAUUCCUUCGCUCCUCCGCCACACGCCCCAAACCCGAAGCAUUCCGGGACCCCAGCUUCUUCAACCUCCUUUCGUACUUGGUAAGCUCCUCAUCAAUUUUGCGUAAUCACAUCUUCGCAAGCCUACCAAGAACCACUCUAUCACCGUCUCUCUCUCUCUCUCUCUCUCUCAAACCCAGCAGCAAAUUGAGCCGAAAGUUUCUGUCUUCAGCCAAUCAAACCUCGGACCAAGGGUGGGAUUGCCUUUUUGGGCAUUGAUUUCCUUAUCAGUGUCUUAGUGGCUUCUUUGUUUAUGUUGAUCUGGAUAAUAGAGCACCCAAGAAGGCAAAAACCACACAUGAAGUUCAACCAAUGCAAGCCUCUGCAUCCCAACCAUUUUAUGCAUCACCACCCAAGCCAACACAGCCAUCUGUUGUGCAGCUAUGAACUGCAAACUAGUUCAUUCAUCCCCCAACUGCGAUAAAGAUGAAGACCAAGUCCCCUGCAAAGAGGAAGAGAGCUCCAGCAGAGAAGUAACUGAGUCCCCUGCUAAGAUGAAGCAUUUUGGGUGUAAUUUCAGAUAUUUCAAAGCAUUGGGCUUUUGUUCACUUUAUAACAAAUCAUUUGUAUCGGAACUUGGUAACUGAUCCAAGUGUUUGAAACUCUGUAAAUGAUGCAAUUGUUUGGUAGUUUGUAACUAAUCAGUUGUUUUUGGAACUUGGUAAGUAAUCCAAGUUUGGUAGUUUGUAACUCAUCAGUUGUUUUUUGAACUUGUUAAUUGAUCCAAGUGGUUUGAAACUGUAAAAUGAUCCAAUUGUUUGGUAGCAUUUGUUUUGGAACUUGGUAAGUGAUCCAAGUUUGGUAGUUUGUAAAUGAUCAGUUGUUUUCGGAA